rnacentral:misc_RNA from 1 species
ACUUCACUCAUUAGCUGCAUGAGAGGAGAAAAUUGAAAAUUCAACAUUAAAAGAAAGUAGCUAAGUAUUGGCUACAGGAAUGACAAAAUUAUUCAUGUGCUGAAAUUCUGAUGGUUAUACACAUAAUUGUCUGGCAUACAAUUAAAAUAUGAACCAAUAUUGAAAUUAUAAAAUGAAAAAGUAAUUAAAAAAAAAAGGAGGAAGCAAUACUUUUUGCAAGUUACAUGCAAAAAUUUUUUAUUAAAAAAAAUGAUAAAGAUGGGACUAAUUCAUAACAGGGGUUGUUUCCUGACCUAAUUCGAUAUAUAGGUCAAUGAAGUAGGCUCUGGGAAGCUCCACCAUGCAAUAUGGGAGUGUGAGAAAGGGAUGGCAACAUGUGGAAUUAACUACAUAGUUUAGACCAAUUGACUUCUUGUAUAAGUUGUCCAUUCCUCUACUCUAGUUGAAUUCUACUAAACGAAGGGCUCAUAAUAA